rnacentral:siRNA from 1 species
AAAAUCUUACUUGAGGCUCGUUCC